rnacentral:rRNA from 1 species
CGGACGGGUGAGUAACGCGUGGAUAACCUGCCGUAUACCGGGGGAUAACACUUAGAAAUAGGUGCUAAUACCGCAUGAGCGCACAGCUCCGCAUGGAGCGGUGUGAAAAACUCCGGUGGUAUACGAUGGAUCCGCGUCUGAUUAGCCAGUUGGCGGGGUAACGGCCCACCAAAGCGACGAUCAGUAGCCGGCCUGAGAGGGUGAACGGCCACAUUGGGACUGAGACACGGCCCAGACUCCUACGGGAGGCAGCAG